UGGCCAUAGAUUCUCGAACGUAGCCUCUCAAAUCUCAUAGAACUACUUCUUUCUACCAAGAUCGAUAGAUCCCAUCUUGAUACAUACCCUACUCCUACAGUGGACCAACUGUCAUCAAUAUCCACUACAAGGGCUUAUUGAGAUCUAUGUUUAUGUAUCAAUCAAACUCUAACAGUCUCACUGUGAGUAGCAGUACUAUCUCGGUUCAAAAGAUCAGUC
rnacentral:lncRNA from 1 species